UUGAGAGACAUGCAAGACAUGAAUGUGGAGGUCUUCAAGACAAAACUUGACUCUUUCCUCUCCACGAUAGCAGACGAACCAAUGGCUCGUAAUGAGACGCAGUUUAGGGCAGCGAUGUCAAAUUCUCUUAUACACCAGAUGUGCCAUCAAAACUCUUGAUUGGACCAUAUCAGGUGGGAGAGAAGAGCCAUGCAAGGAACGUGAAGAGAGCAAAGCAUAAAGACAGAAAAUCACGGUGGUGCUCCAGCAUGACCGCAGCCACUUGGCUGAAACCCAUAAAUAAAUAAAUAAAUAAAUACAUAUACAGAUAUAUAUAUACAUAUAUAUAUAUAUACAUAUUCACAUAUAUAUACGUAUAUAUAUACAUAUUAACAUAUAUAUCUACAUCAAGAAAUCAUACGUCUCCUAAUAUCACAGUCCCUAUUCCUAGGAUAAUUAUGCUGUAGUCUUUGGUCUCCGUGAGCAUCGGGUAGAUCGUUUUUGGAUUCAUUUCUUCCAGCGAUAUAACAUUAAUGGAUGUUUACUAGAGGGAUGUUUACCCUUUUUGUCCUCCGUAGUAAAAGAAAUAUCUCUCUGUUAAACAUCUAUUAAUGUUUUAUCGCCUGAAGAAAUGAAUCGAUGAAGAUUAUCUACCAGAUAUCCACGGAUACUUUGUAAUCAUCCCAGAAAUAUGGGCUGAGGUCUUAAGAGAUAUGCGACUUACGGAAACGCGCGUUGCACAGCAUUACGUGUUUAUUAAUUCCAUCCAAGGAUUAUUGUUACCAUUACUCUAUUUAUCCUAUAUUAUAUUGGUACAGCCCGAUGCAACCUCAAAAACUGGUUCACUACUCAGCAUCAUUAAACCGUGGUCGGCAUUAUGGAAUUGGAGUUAUAUUUGUAUAUUCGGAACGUUUCCAGUAAAUAAAUUUAAAAGAUAUAUGUAUCUAUAUAAUUGAGAUUUAGUUGAAUUAGGUACUUAAGUUGAAGCACCAAGUCAGUCCGGUAUUACAUGCACAGUUCGAAGUAAGGUGAAUAAAAUCAAAAUAAGCAACAGAAUAUCAAGUAGUGAUGCAGUACAACCGUUUCAAGCGGCUCCAUUUAAUUGAACAAUGCAAUCUGAAUAUCAAUUCAAAAGUAGUGCCAUCUUCAGCUGCACAAAUUAAUAAAUAGAAUGUUAACAAGUAGGACACAAUAUAAUUUUUCUCAACUAUUUUAACAGAGUAAGGAGAUGGAACAAAUUCAUGUUGUCACUAUUGUAGUUAAGAAUAGACUACACUUUCAAAGAAUCGCAUGAAGAUUGGUGGGGUCAUAGUGUUAUAAAGGAUUGUAAUUCGUCUCUAAUUCAUUUAUCUCUUUAGCAACUACUAAAUCUAAGACUAGAAGACUGUCUAUUUUGAAUAACAGACAAGAGUGAGUUGACUGGUCAUGGCUAGGUAUGGUCAUAAAUAUUAUCAUAAAUAUCAUCAUUUAUUAUCGUAAAACUUGGUCUCCGUUUAUACAUUCUAGAAGGGAAGACGUGGCAAGAGUUCUUUUAAGAUAUUUUCGGCCGACGGUUAACGAUAGUUGUGUGAAAUUGAAAUAAUCUUUAUUGCAAUGAGAUGAUGGUUUGUAAAGAUAUCAAAUUGGAAAUCAUAAUACAUUUUAAUUAAUGUCAUUUUAAUAAACGUUACUUUCAGAAAAUACAAUUGUAACAUGACUAAAAAUAUUUGAAUGAAUAUAAAAUUAAACAUAUUGGACAACCCUCAAAAUAUUCCUACAUAUUGGAACAGGCAAUUGUCUGUGCUGGCUGAUAUUUUAAAUUCAGAAAUCCAUCUUGAUGUUCUAACAAGAAAUAAUGCUUUUAUCCUUGUACUGAAUGAUAACAUUUAAAAGAUAUCCAUUUCAGACGUGUCGCAAACGUUUUCGAAACACCUAGCUUUUGGUGAAGAGUCACGAAUGAUAAUCAUAAAUAUAAUAUCCCAAAAUUUUAUUUCCAAAUAAAAAUUAUCUUGUAAAGGGAUUUGAAUAAAUUGGAAAAAAGCUGAAAGCAAGUUUAAAUAGUUUAACUUUCUACGAAUGACGUCAAUGCAAAUACUAUCUUCUGAACUGAUAAUGCUACAUAACAAUUGAAUCAUAUAGCUAACUGUGAAGCCAAAUACCAUCCUAUAUUAUCAGUUACACUGACUAUCAGGUGUGAAAAACCAUUUCCAAAAACACAGAAAAACAUUUUUUUUUUAUAUUUUGUUAUAAAGUUAUUUUUUAAAUGCAUACAUUUUCUAAUAUCUUUUGCGUUUCUCUAUAUGGAUUCUUAGUGAUUAGUAGUACUUUGGUGUCUUCUUUCAAGGAUAGAUUUGUUUGAGAAUGAGGGAAUACAAUAGCAUCAGUAACAUUUAUUGUACUUCGGCUGCUGUUUAGACAUUAAUUAUAGCAAUGACAACUAAGUUAAUGAUAAGGUGCCAAAGUAAAAACAACAUAAAAAGAAUAAAAAUCAUCAGAAACGUUGCUACAUUAGUCGUUCUACUUUGUUUAUAUUUUCUUAAUAUUAAAUGGAUGGAAACAAUUUUUUUGUAAAGUUAUGUAUUAAUUGCCUAGCGUAAGCUGUAAUUUAGCUACAAUUUGUGACUACGGAUCCCUUAACGUUUAACAUUAUGUAAACGAUACUGUAACGGUAGAAAUGAAAGAUUUUUAUUUUCUUCAAAUCGUCAGUUUGAAACAGAAAUAUGCUCACUUAUGAGAGUUUGUUUCACUCUCACAUACACCGUUGAUGGCUCAAGAAAGCGAAAAGACUGUUAAACUGUCAUAACAGAAGAAAAGUAAAUAGCAAAUUUGACAUCAUUGGAAUAUGUAAGGUGAAAUCUGUUAAUUAGGACUAGUGUAAAAGAACAUAAUACUAUGAGAGGUGAGAAACGUUUUGCAUCGACCUCGUGGAACUACUGGAUGAUGAAAAAAAAGAGAAAUGUCGUCAUAAUAUUCCUAGAUGAUUUCAACACGCUGCAAGCAUCUAAGAGGCGCAUUUUGCUACGUCUGUGGUCAAUUUAUCAAACACAAAGAAUAAAAGAAAACUCUAUAGCAGCAACAUAUAAAAUGUAUGAGGCCUGCAGGGCAUAUUUUGGCAUGCCUGUCGAAGACUCAGACGAACACAUGCGAGUAUAGCAAAAGAAAUUCUAGAAGUUGCAGAAAGGAAUAGAAUGCUAUGAAGAUCGUUGUCGCAAGUAGUUGGUGAGAACCCACUGAACACUGAAAUAAUAGUACCAUUCUAAAAGUCGGGCAUGUAAGAACGUCAGUUACUGUAUCGAGAUAUUCCCUCAUCCACUGCCACGUCUGACACUGCCUCCUCCGACGUGGAUUGCAGUUUGGGUGUUGUGCAAAGUGCACUAAUUACCACAGAAGCGUCACAUUUGUGUUCCACAUUUGGUUAGGUCUUAAUGUUUCUCUAUUUUCUCAAUUUCUGUGGUAUUCGCUCUAUUAUCGUAUCACAUUUCAAAGCCUACUAUCCUACGCUGUUUGGUUUGUUGAUGUUUCCCUCAACAAUAUCCGUCUCCUUACUUUAGUGUCUUUUUUUUUAAAUACAGUACAGCAGCAUGACUCGGUGUUUUUAUUCUAUUUUCACAAUCGACGCACAAUGUUACGCUGGGAUGGGGUUCGACUAGUCGGCUUUGAAUUACAAAUAGAGACUGUUUUGCGUUACACAACAGGGAUAUUGAGAAUGGCUAAGGUAAGUAAUUAUGUCAGGUAAUACUGUUUCAGAACUUAAUUGGAAAUGAAAAUAAAAUACAAAAUACACACGUGGACAGAGAAUAAAAUCCGCAAAUGGCUUUAAAGGAUUAUAUUAGAAAUCAAAUGUUUAAAAUGGAGUCAGAGGUUUUAGGUAGUUUGUAGUCACAGUUUUUAAUUAAAAUGGUGUCGAGGUUUUAGUGUAACUAGUGUAAAAGAAGUCGAUUCUUAACCAAUAUUCCGACUAUCAUAGAAAUUGACAAUUCAAAGACUUGAUACUCAUUGAGCUGCUAGUUAUUUAAUAUCAGCAUUUCCUCAUUAAAAUUGUUCCAUUAUCCUAUUUACAGACUUCUAAUGAGAAAGAGAAUAAUAAUGCAAUAACAGUGUCGAGACUAAUUGGCAGAAAUUGUUGAUGAUAUACCACUAUGUACGUCACCUCCGCCCAUACAUGUAUUAUAACUAUCAACUUUGAUAUAUCUCUUUUAGAAAUAAAUAUAGCCUAUGUCCAGAUUUCACAACAAAUUUAACACAGGCAUCAUAUGUAUUUAAUAGGUAUAUCAUAAAUCAUCUCUGCAUGAAAGUGAAGUGAAGUAAGGUUUUGAACUACAUGAAAUGCUCUAGUGCCUUUCCAAUUUAUUUCUCUAAUUCUCGUUCUGAGCACCUUUCUUUCAGUGUAACAAUUAGUCACAUGUUUUCACGACCGAUUUACAUGACGAGUUACGAAGUUUACAAAUAAAUUUCGUUUCUUUUUCCUGCCAAUGCUGUUACUACAGCUGGCAAUAUGGCGAACGCUGAAGAGGAAAAGUUUUCUUUGUUUACCUGUUGAUCUAGACGAGGGGACGAUGCACUGGGGUGAAUGUAAUCGAUUUACCCGUUUCCCUGAAAUUGCUGGCCUUGUGCCAAAAUUUGAAACUGAUAUUUUACUUCAACUGUUGUAGGUCGACACCUUCAGGAAAGACAUGAACAGGGAGAGAGUUCUGGACGACUGACGCUCUAGGAGAGGAAGGAAUUGGUGUAGUGGUUAAUGUAGGGCAUUGGGUGAUUGGAUUCAACAUGGAGGAUUGGAGAAGGAAAUGAUGAGUGAGACGGGAGAGCUUGAGUGUUGAUAGGAUGAAAAUAACCAGAUCCAAGGGAAAGAGAAUAUUACAGUAGAGCUAGGAAACAGACCAUCGGUGACCAAUCAGUCGAAUAGCCAUUCUCUGGAGUUAGUCUACAUUAUAUGCGUAUGCAGCAGCAAAGGUAGGACUGUCAUAGAUGUAGAACUAAAUACCCUACUGUGGACCGAGUAUUGUAGAGUAUUGAGGAAUUGUGGGGUUUCUUUGCUGUUUGCUCUGAAGGAAAUGGUGCCCUUUGAGAUACGGUCUUACCAAUGUUAAGAUCCUUAGAGAUAGAAACCUAACAUGUGAAGCGAUUGUAAGGGCUCUAGUUGAGUGCUAAUCGCACUAGGGACUAGAGUGAGGUAAUGUUUUCUUUACAUGGAAAUGGAUGCAAUUUUUCUUUUGAGGGAGACACAAUUGGCUGAGGUUUUCUAAGUAUUUGUUCAUUAAAUCAGUUUUAGUGUGUGGUGGGGAUCUAGAUUACAUAGUGCUAACUCCUAUUUAGGGCCAAUAACAGAAGACAACUAGUAUCAUCCGUGUGAGAGUGACAAAUAGGUUAUUGGAUAAAAAAACGAGUGGGAAGAAUUGUACUAAGCAUCAAGCUGAAGAGCAUGGGUGCUACAAAACAACCUUACCUCACACCAUUGGUAACAUUGAAAGGUGCUGAGAAUUCUCCAUCAUUCAAGAUAUGAGGUUACAUGCCAUCGUGAAAUUGAUGCGUCAUGUUAAUGAACAUGUCUGAGAAACAACCAUCUUCCUUAUUUUCUAGAGUAUUUGUCAGUUUACAGUAUUAAAAGCUUUGGUCAGAUCGAUUUUGUUUCCGGUCUCCAUUUUGUUCCUGACAUUUUCUUGUAGCUGUCUUGCAGCAAAGAUCAUUUUCAAGUUCCGUGAGAUUUUCGAAAACUACACAGACAGUCAGGAAGCAACCGAGAUUUAAGACGUUGUAUGAGCAGGUUGAACACUAUGUGUACCAGGAUUAUUCCUGCGAAUGGCAUGAGGGAUAUUCCCCUACAGCUGUCACACUGUUGAAUGUUUCCUUUUCUUUUAUGGAGAUGUACAAUGCCGACAUCUUUGAAUUCCUGUGGAAUUAAUUCGUACUCCCUCAUUGUAGUAAAUAGGGCGAAUGGGUUUUUCCUGUAUUUUCCGGCCACCAUAUCUCAGCAAGAAUUGCAUCAGAUUUCGAGGUUUUACCGUAGGCUAGUCGUCUCAUAGCCAACUGAAUUUCACUGAAUGUAAGUGGGUUACCCUAUUGAUAGUUCACGAGUACCUGAGGUAACCGGGUUUUGUGAGAGGGACGAUUUAAGGGAGUCAGUGUUCUGCCCAUCACUUCAGUAUCAGGGAUUUCUCUGUCAAUAAGGACACAGCAUCAAAGCUAAGCAGAUAGGCAAUCCUCGUUUUCGGGGUUACCCAUAUAAAGCAUUGAUUGCUUUUAUAGGGACCUUUAAAGUCGCUUAUCUUUGCUUGGUGGUGUAUAUACCACGAUACCAUAAUGCAUUGUUUUUUUCUGUUGCAGACGAAAACAACCCCCAUGUACUGAUUCAUUACCUCGUGUAUUAUUUGCCAAAAGUUGUUGGUGCAAUUGGUUCUUGCAUCAUCAUUAUUCUCAUCAUUGGUGUUUUCGUUCUAUUUUACCUAAGAUUUGAGUGAAGAUGCAUCAACAGUGGUCCCGGAAUUUCAUCCAUUUAUCCUCAAUGGAGAGACCUGAGUCAAUCAAUCAGUUAUGACUUUUGGGAGAAUGGUGAGUGUCUUUGCUAAGCUGUUUUUCACUGUAAAAGCUACACAAGCUCCGCGUCGAUCAAAGACUUGUGAGUGAAUUUGGUGGACAGAGACUAAAAGAAACGCGCCUAUAUAUACGGAAAGGAACUGGGGGUUAGAGGAGCUGGAACACAUUCUUACUGAUGUCCAGGUGAUAACGUUUAGCUGCCAGUGAAAUGGUACAAUUCAAGUUCAUUUCUAUGCUGAAAUCACAUCACCUGUGGAGGUUAUAAGCGUUACAACACACAUACACGCACUCACACACACGCGUACAUAUACACACACACACAAAUUAAUAAUGUUAGGUUUGAUACGAAUAUAAUUAUUUCAUUCUCAAUUAAUGAAUUACCAGAUUUCUUAAACUAAUUCGAAAAGAAAGACAUUUCACGUACAUUUACUUCAUUUAAAAAAAAAAAAGUGGGGGAAUAAAUAGAUUCGUGAAGCUUAUUUCUCGUCGGUUUUUUUUUUAUAAACUAAAAUUGAUAUUCUGAUAGCCAUGUCUAAGAUAUGUGUGGCUGUGGAGCGAUGUUCUUUUUGAAUACGAAAACCACCACCACUAUUUACAUGUAUGCAAUUAGACAAAGUAUUGGGAAAUAUGUGCUUUUUCUUUGAUAUUUUUAUCGUAUACUUCUGCUCUACUUCCUCGCUGAUUUGCUUUCUUGAACAAAUAUCAAAUUUCAAUUAUUAUCCGAGAAAAUAUUUCAAUCUUUCUAUUGAUUUUCAAAUUGUUUCCAGCUUACAGUUGCGGAACAACAGAGGAAAGACAAUUUUCUCGAGAGCAAUCGAAUGGUAGCUGGCACGUGCAAUCUAACGUGGCUGGCAACAACAAUUGGGAUUUCAAAUCCUACUUCAUCUAUUGUAUAUGAUGCUUGCUGUUUAAAUAAGUUUGCCAAAUAUUCCACUUCUCCAUAAACAGCUGCAGUUCCAAACGAUAUUUCUGUUAGUCAGGAAGUGAUUUAAUAUUGAUUUUUCUACUUUGUCAAGAGAAAAGUUUUAUAAUUUUGUGGGCAGGACAUUCUCAAGGGAUUUAGGGGCGCUGAAAGGUGUGGGCAUAUUCCCAUCGGAAUUGCUGACUUCCAACUGCGGUGCAGCUCUUUUGGCAAGUGUGUUCUUCAAACACCUUAGGUAGAAAAGUAGUUGGAAAUUAAACGGAAAUAAAUAUAUGUACGUAUGCAUGUAUUGAAACAUGAAAUUCAUCACAAUAUAUUUCAACAAUGUGGAAAUUUUAUUCAUCAAAGUAAGUACCAUUACAAUCAAUACAUUUUUGCCAACGAGUUACAAGUCCGUUUAUUCUGAGUUCUAGAGCCGAUGAACUCUUUGAACGCACUUUCAGCAUCGGUUUGGUUUUUAAACUCCUUCUCCCACAGGAAUCCAUCAAGAUGCUUGAAAAAGUGGUAGUUGGUAGGAGAAAGGUCUGGGAAAUAAGCUGAGUGGGGAAGAACUUCGUAGCCAAGUUCCCUCAACUUCUGGAGCGUCAUUAGGGAAACGUGUAGUCGAGCAUUCACUUGAAGAAUGGUUGGCUCUCUUCUGUUGACCAGUCUAAGAGAGACAAGUAGCAUUUUUUUUUUUUUUUUUUUGUCAAUCUUGGCAAUUUCCUGCCAAUAUGUUUCUGCAGUAAUGAUUUUUCCGGGUUUUAAGUUAUAGUGGAUAAUUCCAGCAGUACACCACCAAUCAGUCACUGUAACUUUCUUUUUGAAAAGCUCGGGUUUAGGGAAGGUUUUCGGUGCUUCAUUUUGAUCCAACCACUGCGAAGAACAUUUUUUUUUUUUUAUUGUACAGAAACCACUUUUCAUCUCAAGUUAUAAUACAGUCGAGAAAUGGAUCAGUCUGGUUAAAGAGAAGAAGCGACAUUUUCUGAUUUUCUUUCAAAUCGUGUGGUACCCAUUUGUCGAGCAUUUUUUUUUUCUUUUUUUUUUUCACUUUCCGAUCGCAUGCAAAUUAUUGCAGACAGUUUUCUGGCUAACUUGAAGUUCUUUUGUCAGUUCUCGAGUGGUUCUACGUGAAUCUUUCUCAAUCACGGUUUUUAAUUGACCAUCACAGACUAUGGACCGGUCUCCGUUAUAUUAUUCUACGAUAGCUAAAUAAAUUAUUAUUUCUACAGACAAAGGGGAUGCCGAUCUAAGACUUCAUAUUGCUAUUUUUUUCUCACUCUGCUCUUGGCAUCAACCUUCUUCGCGUUUAUCUUCUUCUCAUUUCUUCUCAUAGACCAACGUCCUGGUCUUUUUCAAAUAGGUGUAACAGCAAGCAAUGAGCCUGAGAGAUUGCUUGGAAACACAUGGCACGUUACGUAAAUCUGCCAAAUUAUUCUCUCUCUGCAGCAUGAAACUAUUAGUAGCUCUUUCUAAAAUUCUGUUUAUAUUAAAUGAUGAUUAUUUCUCAUUAGAUGGAAUACUAUUUUCAUUGCUCCUACCUAUAACGGAACAGCAAACUAUAUGUAAUUUUACAUUAAACUGAAGGAUUCCUCAAUACUUUUUGUGAAGUAGGUAUUUAUUAUUAUUUAAGAACAGUGUUGACAGUGACAUCGAAGUUUUGACCCGCUAAGCCUUCAUCAGACUCAGUACGUUUGAGUGCAUGUGAGUAUGUGGCUGGUAUCAGCGAAGACUGUAUGCAUCAGAGAUAAAACCGAAACAUUUGUAUUUUUCGAACGCAGUUCAUUGUUGAUCAUUAUUCUGCAAUACAUUAUUAGAGAAGCCCUUUGUUCCUCUCGGAAAUGCUGUGAUCCAAUGACUGGAGCGUUGGAUAUAUAGAAUCAACAAUGCACUAUUAUUCAAAAACUGCGAUAAACUAAAUAAAACGCCUCUGAUAGAGUAUUUGCAAUUAUGAGAUAUAUUGUUGUGUGAGGAUUAUCUCAUCAUCUUCACAGUUUUGUGAUACAUAAAUGUUAAAAUCGAUACAUUAAAUAUCGAUAUUUUCUCAUUGAUUAUAAUUAUUAGAAGCCAUUAAGGUGUGAAGAUAAAAGGCUGCAGUUUUGUAUUUUGUGUCAUUCUUUUACACAUCGUAUGUUAUUAUUAGUUAUAUAAAUGAAAUAAAAUACCUACAGCUGGAGAAUAAAAACCAGUCAUAGCUCCGUGGGUACACAUAUAGCUUUACAAUGAAGUAGGAUGGUUUGCUAGCCCGCAGUAACAGUAUCGAACCUACUGUGCAGAACCUUGAGCAAUUGUUUUCUGCUUUUGUUUUAUGGGUAAAAUUGAGUAAAUGUAAACUAUGUAGAGCCUUAGCUGAGAAAAUGUUUUUGUUUUUGUGUGGCCUCUGAGCCCUGGUCCUUAGCUUCUUUUAGCAUGUUGAUAGUAGUAUUCGGGCUCAGUGCACAAGCUGGGGAUAACUUGCAUUCCUUCCUCUCUUCUCAGAGCUAUAAAUAAUUCGCAAAUGCAAAUAGCAUGGAUGCGAAAUUCAGUGGAGGAGAUUCAGUCUAGACUGAAAGUACACUGUCAACAUAACAGAAGUCACAAAGUCAAACCAUCGCAGAUCAAAGUAAAAAUAUAAAAUAUUAUCGGCUUAAAUUUGGUAAGCAUUAUUAUAAAAUAAUAAUUCUAGAUGCAAUUACAAAAGCUUAAUAUGAACACGAGCAUCCUAAUAAAAUAUACAAGGUAAUUCCAAACUGAUAUAAGAUCAUUUACAUGAAAUAUAUAUGGCGUGGGUUGCCGAGGAAAAUUAGUGCAUAUCACUGCUGUAGCUGACAUUUUCAACGAACUCAAAUAGUUGCAGAAGGUCAACUAAAACAAUUGGAGCUGACUUUGUCCUACUUACCACAUAACUUCUCACUUUUUAUAGCCAAUAAGACAUGAAUGAAAUUCGAGCGAAGCUCCCGUUUUCUCUUGCGUCUCUGAAUUAUAAUAAUGUAUUAAAAUUUAUGAUAUUCUAGGAGGACCCGUAGAAAUUCCACAGAAUGAAAAGUAUUAAGAGAAGUUAUUUAAGAAAGAAAGCAUGGUUUGCAUUUUUAUUUUGCUAAGUUAUUUCACUUCCAAUCACAAUAUAUUUUAUGAUUUUGAAAUUUCCCUCUGCUAAGCACUUUAUAUGUCUCUCUUUCACUCUACCUCUUCGACAAACGUUUUAAGCAUGUAAUUUCACUCUUCAUGUCUUUCUCUCUUUCUCUUCACCUCUCACUUCCAUUAACCACAUGAGUGAUAGUAUAAUGCAUCGGCUGGCUAUCUGUUCACUCACCCUCACAUUCCCUCUUCCUCUCUCUCACUCGACCUCCUCCACCUCUCUAACAUACUAUAAUAUUAUUCUUCUACGAACAGGUAGAAGAAUAUAGAUAUAGUUCAAUAAAAAUUAUUUUUCAUUAUCAACACACUACUACUACUACCACCAUCUCUCUCUUUCUC